GAAAUGCGAUAAGUAGUGUGAAUUGCAGAAUUCAGUGAAUCAUCGAAUCUUUGAACGCACAUUGCGCCCCUUGGUAUUCCAUGGGGCAUGCCUGUUCGAGCGUCAUUUGUACCCUCAAGCCCUGCUUGGUGUUGGGUGUUUGUCCCCGUCUCCGCGCGUGGACUCGCCCCAAAGUGAUUGGCAGCCGGCGUACUGGUCCCGGAGCGCAGCACAUGUCGCGCAAACGAGUGCCUUGGUACGGCGGCGUCCAUAAGCCCCUCUCUCACGCUCUUGACCUCGGAUCAGGUAGGGAUACCCGCUGAACUUAAGC
rnacentral:misc_RNA from 1 species